GGGGAGGUGCCAGAGUGGACGAUUGGGGCCGCCUGCUAAGUGGUUGUGGGGCUAAAAACUCCACCGAGGGUUCGAAUCCCUCCCUCCCCGCCA
rnacentral:tRNA from 1 species